UUCGAGACUGUUCCACAUACCAGCCCAGCCUGUUCAAAAUGGCGGACAGUUGCAAACGGAAAUGACAUAUAUUUGUGUAAAGUUCAAAAGGAGCCAUGCUGAUGUCUGGAGACCAUUUAUCACCGCCACACAAGACUAACCAAUACAUUUAAGGAUCUUGAGAGAGGAAAUGUCAUUGCUGGCUAUGCAGGCCUCACUGAGCCAUCGGAUUUCAACAAAAAUAUCUUAAUUUGUGUUCUGAAGAUGGAUGAAGGUCUUACUGGUGUGGAACGACAUGAGGUUCAGAGAGACGGCGCCGCCGGCGAAAGUUAAUGCAGAAUUGAUACAGCAGCCCGCUGUCAAAAAAGUGGUGCUUCAGAGAGACUGCAGAGUGAAAAGAAGAGUGGAGUGUUUCAGCAAGGCAAAGAGAGAAGAGAGAAAUCACUGAAUAUAUAACAUUAUUUGAAGAAGUUAUUGCUUUAUACACAGGUAUGUUGUAUUAGAUUAACUUAACAGGCUGUGCAUUUUGACUUAAUUGUAAAGCAAUACAUACUAUUACAAGGUGAGGUAUUUU